rnacentral:lncRNA from 1 species
UAACUAUUAUAGGUAAUCUUGAAAUAUUUGUAUGUGUUUGUUACCUUAAACAUUUGAAAGAAGCACAAAAAAGUAGAUUUAGUUAUCCCAGAGAAACACCAAUUUUUUAGUAGUAGCAAUUUUAUAUCACAGUUUUAUUUUCUUAUGAAGUCAAAAAAAAACCACAUUGCUACUCAUUAAGGCAAGUUCAUUAUUUAACAUAAAAACCAGAAUAAUCUUUUGAAAUGAAAAAAAAAGUACUAUUUUUAUUUUAACAGUAUACUUCUUAAGCUCUUAUUACCAGCUCUAGAGAAUUUUUUGGAAUAAUUAUGCAUUCCCUAAUGUGUGCUUUACAAACUGUGUAUCAUCAUAACCCAGUAGCCGUGACAGAAAUCUCUUUUCUUUGCACCCCCAUCCUCCUCUUUUUGUUUCUCUCUCGCCCCCACUCUCUGUAAUAGUCACUAGCAGGUUGUGUUUAUAGCAACCAUUGGAAAGACCGUCAAUAAAAACGACAAAAAACAUUUAGUUGUUCAGAAAUUGAAAGUUAGAGAACUUGGAUUUAUUUAACUCAGUGCUGCCAGAAAAUAAUGCUAUAAAAUUAAAUUACUUUAAAACUCUUGAAUGAAAGGUGCUAUUUAAAUGUAAAUACUAAGGGUUUACUGAAACACGAUACACAUACUAAAAAUCUAUUCUCUAGACUUUGAAAUCUUCUUUGUGACUCCUUAGAUUCAAGUCUCAAAUUGGUAAAUGGGUAUCAUGGAAGUCUAGAGACAGUUGCAUGUAAAAAAAAAAAAAAAAACUGUAAAUUCACUGUUGGUUGAGAAGUUGAAAAUGAGUGUAGAAUUAUGUUUUAGCUUAAUAUAUAAGAGAAUAAGUUAGGUUUAUAUUAACUAGCAUCCAAUUUGCACAAUUAGCACACAUCCCAGGACAGUUAAUGAAUGAGUGUGAGGUGACCUAAUGAGGGUAAAGCAGUUUGAACCUGCUGAGGUAAUCAGCACAUCAGCUAGAAAUACUGUAAUGUAUUAACUUGGAGUAGGCCAACCCUGAGGAGAAAAAAAGAGAAAACUAAGAGAAUACAAUGAGACUAGUGCAUUAUUCUCAAUUAUAUUAAUUGCCUUCCUCAUAGCAAUUCAACAAAGGACUAGCCGAUAACUCCAUGAUUUUUUUUUCUUUGAAAUCUACUUCAGAAGCAGACUUUGUAGGAAUCUAAGCCAAAUGGAAAUUAAUCCAAACCAUUUUUCUAACCAAGCCUACACCCAACUAUCUGGUGCUAUUCCUAAACCUCCAUGAACACUUUAAAAAUGAGAAUAACAGCAUCUGCCCAGAGCUCUAAUAACAUGCCUCCUAGCUGGCCAUGGAAAUGUUUUGGUUCAAGGUUUUCUGAGUUGGUGGUUACCAAAGAGUUCACGAGACAGGUUCAUGUGAAGCACCUUUCAUGCAAGGCAUGUUAAAAGCCUAUUUAAAAAUCACUGUGCACAUUACAGAAUUGUAACCACCUCACAAAUGGAUUACUACAGCCUGAACUGUCUUAACACUUUAUGUCAGGAAGUAAAAUCAAUACUGUACCAAAUCUGGAAUUGUGAUGGGGAAUUAUGCAUUCUAAAUUACUUUUGUACUUUAAGUUACUUUUUAUGAAAAAAAGUGAAUUGUCUUUCUUUUCAGCUAUUUGUCCUGAGAUGUAUUUUUUUUCUUUGAGUCUUGAAUAUGAAUAGUACAAAAAGAGCCCAUUUUAUAAUUAUAAAUCUUGAUAUACAGGUUAAGCUAUUUGGACAAUGAAAACGCCUUAAAUGGAAUGCUUAAUGGGUAAUGUUGCACUUAUAACAUCCUCUGACAAAAUCUGAUUUUAAAUUGUCUUUUUUAUUUCUACUAGUUUUGUUUUCAAUGUUUGCCAUUGUACUCACAGCUGUUAUUAAAUACCAAAUCAAAUAAUAUAAAAAGCUGUAACAUUUCCUUUAAAAUUAAUGCUAAUAAGGGAGGUAGAGUUGAAUAACAAAACAACUUUCCUCGGUGGCACCUGAUGUCUGUCACAGGAGUCCAUGCACGACAAGAUACCAUUGUUUGAGAUGGUUUUUAUAGUCACUUUCUUUUUCUUUAAUUCUCCUUAAAAGUAUUUAUGUUGGACUAACUGAUAUAAAAAGAAAUAAAAACAAAAGGUAAUUUUUUAACAAAUUGUUACAGUCAUUUUAAAAUUGUAUGUUGGCCAAGUGUUACUUUUUCCCUGGAGAACUGUUUUGGGGCUUCAUAGACUUUAUCCUAAUCAUUUUGGUCAUUAAGAUGUUUGGGUAGAGAGUCAGUUCUGUCAAUCCUAAAAUAAGUUUAAGUAUGUUUACUAAGAGAAAGCUUAAAUUAUAAAGUAGAUACAGUGAUAAUAACAAUGGUAGCUAAUAAUAAAAUAGAACUAUAACAAUAGUUUGUUGUUUCGGGGGUGGUAGGAAGGGGGUACUACUGGAGAUUUUACUCAGGGCCUUAAGCGUGGUACGCUGGCACUUUACUUAGCUGUAGUCCCAGCUCCUUUCUCAGUACUUCUUCUUGUGCUCUAUGCAUUCUUCUUGUGAUGUGAGAUAAAAUAACUAGGUGAUGAACUGAGUGCAGUGAUAGAGGAAAUAUAUUAAGCUAGUCGAUAGGGGUUGUCUGAACACCAGUGCUGAGACACCACAUUCACUGCCACAAGUUUGGUAACCACGGGGACUAAGUGACCAACAGGUAGGUAGAAUAUAUGCUAUGGAUAUGCCAGACAGUCAUUCAGUGAUAACAUCUCCUGCUACUGAAACAGGCAUGUCGUUUAAAGCUUAUGAAUUUUGGAAUUUCUCAUGUAAUAAUUUUGGUUCAUUUAACCACAGGUUACUGGAACUUCGGGAAUUAAAACUCCUAAGAAUGUG